rnacentral:lncRNA from 10 species
GUUUUGUUGAUCCUGGGCUUUUGAUUCAAGGGCCUGUCUGGCAGGAGAUGGCCUAAGCACAUCAGCAAUAGCAGAUGACAAAUGCCAAAACAGAAAGAAAAUAGGAUACAAAUGAUUUCCUCCUACAUAUUUACAUUUACCUGCUCCAGAGAUUGUGCAUUUGGGGUUCUACCCGUUAUUAAGUAGGAGCCUACGUUAUGCCUAUAAUGACCUCAUCAUGCUGCGUGAUUAUGGGCUGCAGCCGCCAAACACUUUCAGACGACACUGUGAACUUUAAAUUGGCACUCCAAUCUCCCAGUGGCCUGUCAGUCAUGAGAAUCGCGUCUUUAUGCCAGCAAGCCCCUUGGAUGGAGUCUGACAUUGCAAUCUUCAGUAAAUUACCCUGUCACUGACAAUCUUGCAGUUAUCUCGCAAACAAUCAAGCAGGCAAUCAAACUGUUCUGAAUUGCCAGUUCAGGACCUGAGAGGUGGCCGAUGUCUCCAUUCAACAGCAGAGGGAAAGCGGCCUGGCCCUCCUAUGACAAUGGACGAUUUCUUUAUUUAUUUAUCUACCUACUUAUUUGUUAGUCUGGUUGGCUUUUUCCUGGGGAAGGGGGUGAGGAUGGUAGGAGAGGUUUGCAGAGUCCUCAAAAAGGGCCCAAUACUGACUCAGCGGUUAUGGGAAAGCGACUUAGGCCUUCUGAAUCAGCCCACACUGCGGUGGCUCAUGUCUGCUUAAUCUUACUUCACUCAGUGAAACGGGGCCAAAAAGAAUUAUCUAGGUGUUUUCUGUCAGAACGGACGCUAAAUCACAGCUCUGGUUCUAGUCUACUCAUACACGUCAUAAGCUAAUUGUAAUGACAAUUUCAGAGAAAUGUGAUCAUGGAGAAACUUUCUGGGAAUGAUACCAAGGCAUUCUAUUUAUUGCUUUUGAUAAAGCAAAUCAGAGAGAUUCUUCCAUAACAGUUCUGGCAACGUGAAACAGGUUCAUUAAUGCUGAAUUGAAACCUUUGGAUUAGAAGUCCCAAGGUAAAAAGCCAAAAAUUCUACACAGCAUCAGAGGUGACAGCCUGGCCUCUGGAAUCAGAUGGAUUUGGGUUUGAAGCUCGUCUCUGCUAGUUCCCUGGCUGUGUGAGCUUGGAAAGGAGGGGUGACGCUUCCUUCCCCAAGGAAGUCUGAAGACAAGGCAGUGGACACCCAUCAACAGGGGAUGGAUGUGGGAAAAAAAGCACGGGCUGCUUAAGAAAAUCAAGGCUCUGCUACCAAAGGCAGAAAUCUGAUUCAGGUAAGGCCUCUCUUUAAUAGACUGUACCUUGAAGCCACUGGGGGAAAUGUUUGACAAGGGGAUUAUAGUGUUGUCCAGUUAUUUUUAAAAAAUGGUUCUUCACCAGCAACUAAUGGACAAAAACCAAAAACAAAUGCCAUCAACAAAACCUUUUAAACCAAUGCUUCUCAAAUUCUAAUGAGCAUCACAAUCACUCAGGGACCUUGUUAAAAUGUAGAUUCUCAUCCCGUGUCCUAAGGUGGGGUUUGAGAGCCUGCAUUAUUUAUGAGCUCCCAGGUGAUGUCUAUGUUGUUGCUCUGAGCACCGUAUUUCCAGUGGCUAAGCUUUAAACCAGCGUUGCUGAAGGUGUGCUCCCUGACUACCUGCUCCGGUAUGGUGUUAAGAUGCCAU